rnacentral:lncRNA from 1 species
UUGUGUUGUUUAAUGUGCCAUAACAUUAUUGAUCCUCAAUCAUCUCAAAUCUUAUCUCUAAAGUACCUGAAGUACCAAAGAAACCUGUCCCUGAAGAAAAGGUUCCUGUGCCCAAAAGGAAAGAAGCUCCAUCAGCUAAAGUGCCCAAGAAACCGGUACCUGAAGAGGAAGUGCGUGUUGCUGUCCCUAAACAAGUAGAAGCACCUCCUGAUGAAGUGCCUGAGAUCGUCGAGGAAGAAGAAAUUGAAGCUGAGGUACCUCUACCAGCUAAAGUGCCAGAGGUGCCAAAGAAAGUUGUAGCAGCAAAGAAGAUUCCUGAACCUGUUCCCAAAAAAGUGGAGCCACCACCACCACCUGUUGCAAAAGUGCCUGAAGUUCCCAAACCAGUCCCAGAAGAGGAGGUGCCCGUUCCCAAAAAAGUGCCAGCUCCACCAACCAAAGUGCCUGAAGUUCCUAAACCUGUCCUGGAAGAGGAAGUACCUGUUCCCAAAAAGGUGCCACCUCCACCAGCCAAAGUGCCUGAAGUUCCCAAACCAGUCCCAGAAGAAAAAGUGCCUGUUCCCAAAAAAGUGCCACCUCCAAAAGCUAAAGUGCCUGAAGUUCCUAAACCUGUCCAGGAAGAGGAAGUACCUGUUCCCAAAAAGGUGACACCUCCACCAGCCAAAGUGCCUGAAGUUCCCAAACCAGUCCCAGAAGAAAAAGUGCCUGUUCCCAAAAAAGUGCCACCUCCAAAAGCUAAAGUUUUGUGA